rnacentral:rRNA from 1 species
GUGGGGAAUUUUGGACAAUGGGCGCAAGCCUGAUCCAGCAAUGCCGCGUGCAGGAAGAAGGCCUUCGGGUUGUAAACUGCUUUUGUACGGAACGAAACGGUCCGGGUUAAUACCCUGGGCUAAUGACGGUACCGUAAGAAUAAGCACCGGCUAACUACGUGCCAGCAGCCGCGGUAAUACGUAGGGUGCAAGCGUUAAUCGGAAUUACUGGGCGUAAAGCGUGCGCAGGCGGUUUUGUAAGACAGGCGUGAAAUCCCCGGGCUCAACCUGGGAAUUGCGCUUGUGACUGCAGUGCUGGAGUGCGGCAGAGGGGGAUGGAAUUCCGCGUGUAGCAGUGAAAUGCAUAGAUAUGCGGAGGAACACCGAUGGCGAAGGCAAUCCCCUGGGCCUGCACUGACGCUCAUGCACGAAAGCGUGGGGAGCAAACAGGAUUAGAAACCCCGGUAGUCC